rnacentral:rRNA from 1 species
UACGAAGGGGGGCUAGCGUUGCUCGGAAUCACUGGGCGUAAAGGGCGCGUAGGCGGCCGAUUAAGUCGGGGGUGAAAGCCUGUGGCUCAACCACAGAAUUGCCUUCGAUACUGGUUGCUUGAGACCGGAAGAGGACAGCGGAACUGCGAGUGUAGAGGUGAAAUUCGUAGAUAUUCGCAAGAACACCAGUGGCGAAGGCGGCUGUCUGGUCCGGUUCUGACGCUGAGGCGCGAAAGCGUGGGGAGCAAACAGG